UCUGGAGUAGCGCAGCGGUAGCGCAGGACGCUGUUAACGUCUUGGUCGCCGGUUCGAAUCCGGCCUCCAGAGCCA
rnacentral:tRNA from 1 species